rnacentral:rRNA from 1 species
GACGAACGCUGGCGGCGUGCUUAACACAUGCAAGUCGAACGGAAAGGCCCUGCUUUUGUGGGGUGCUCGAGUGGCGAACGGGUGAGUAACACGUGAGUAACCUGCCCUUGACUUUGGGAUAACUUCAGGAAACUGGGGCUAAUACCGGAUAGGAGCUCCUGCUGCAUGGUGGGGGUUGGAAAGUUUCGGCGGUUGGGGAUGGACUCGCGGCUUAUCAGCUUGUUGGUGGGGUAGUGGCUUACCAAGGCUUUGACGGGUAGCCGGCCUGAGAGGGUGACCGGCCACAUGGGGACUGAGAUACGGCCCAGACUCCUACGGGAGGCAGCAGUGGGGAAUAUUGCACAAGGGGCGGAAGCCUGAUGCAGCAACGCCGCGUGCGGGAUGACGGCCUUCGGGUUGUAAACCGCUUUCGCCUGUGACGAAGCGUGAGUGACGGGAAUGGGUAAAGAAGCACCGGCGAACUACGG